rnacentral:rRNA from 1 species
UACGAAGGGGGCGAGCGUUGUUCGGAUUUACUGGGCGUAAAGGGUGCGUAGGCGGGUCUUUAAGUCAGGGGUGAAAUCCUGGAGCUCAACUCCAGAACUGCCUUUGAUACUGAGGAUCUUGAGUUCGGGAGGGGUGAGUGGAACUGCGAGUGUAGAGGUGAAAUUCGUAGAUAUUCGCAAGAACACCAGUGGCGAAGGCGGCUCACUGGCCCGAUACUGACGCUGAGGCACGAAAGCGUGGGGAGCAAACAGG